GUCUUAUGUUGCCACGCACGUGAUGGUGGGGACGUCGUAAGAGGACUGCCGGGGUCAACUCGGAGGAAGGUGGGGACGACGUCAAGUCAUCAUGCCCCUUAUGUCCAGGGCUUCACACAUGCUACAAUGGCCAGUACAGAGGGCUGCGAGACCGUGAGGUGGAGCGAAUCCCUUAAAGCUGGUCUCAGUUCGGAUCGGGGUCUGCAACUCGACCCCGUGAAGUCGGAGUCGCUAGUAAUCGCAGAUCAGCAACGCUGCGGUGAAUACGUUCCCGGGCCUU
rnacentral:rRNA from 1 species